UUUUUAGCGCCUGAACAAAGUAUUUUGUUGACGAGGUUAGAGUUUAUCGAUUUUUCGGCGGAUGCUCUAUGGCAAUGGUUAAUGUCAUUAGUUGUUAUUCAAAAAACUAGUAGUAAUAUUAGAACAAAAAUAGCAA
rnacentral:ncRNA from 1 species